rnacentral:rRNA from 1 species
UACAGAGGGUGCAAGCGUUGUUCGGAAUUAUUGGGCGUAAAGGGCGCGUAGGCGGUGCGGUAAGUCUGCGGUGAAAUCUCCCGGCUCAACUGGGAGUCUGCCGUGGAAACUGCCGUGCUUGAGUGUGGGAGAGGUGAGUGGAAUUCCUGGUGUAGCGGUGGAAUGCGCAGAUAUCAGGAGGAACACCAAUAGCGAAGGCAGCUCGCUGGGACGUUACUGACACUGAGGCGCGAAAGCGUGGGGAGCGAACAGG